rnacentral:lncRNA from 1 species
CACAUGGGUACUUUUAAAGCUGGAGGUCAUGUGGUAGCGACUGCACAUGUUUUGCUAAGGAAUAUGGACCUCAGCCUGUAGGCAUGAGAGAUCCAAUGGAAGCUUGAUUUAUAUCACGAAAGGCAGAUGGCAGGCUCAUUUCACAGAUUUAUUUCCCUGAAAGCUGAUGAGGUCUGAUUUAUAUCUUCCCUUGAAGGUCAGGUUAUGAACUGUUCAACUCCCUUCUCUCUAGCAAGGGUUUUCAUGAGGAUGGGGUGGUGAGGAUGAUGUCAGUUAUAUACAGCCUGUUUGUUUGCUCCGUCUAGAGAAUUUUAGGGAAUUUCUUUUUAACUCAUCAGACUUUCACUGAGCACUUACUAUGCACCUGUUAUUGUGCUCAAAGCUGGGACCAUAAUGCAAGGUGGUUGGGAGCCCCCUUUGCCAAAACUCUGGAGGGUAGGGCUGGCAAGGCAUGUACACACCAGCAUGACAUGUCUGGGUUCCUGUCUUGCAGCCUUCAUCCCGUGCCACAGGGGUCUGCUCCCAGAAGAGCUGGGGCCUGGCUAUGAUCGAUGAGCUCCUGUCACCCUCAUGACAUACUCUCCUGAACCAUCUCACCAUCACUCAGAAGCUUUGCUUUGGAGGAAGGAAGAAAGAACAGUCUAUGUAUUGUGUCUUGAGUGCUCCUUCGGGUGCUUUCCUAUCUUCGUUCCCAAACUACAAGGUUCUGUUCCUUUGAAACGGAAACCACAAUGAUAUGCCUGGAUCACAGAGGAUCUACCUGGAUUCCACAAUCAAUCCCGCAACAGAGAGGAGAGACCCUAGGAGGCACAGGCUACACACGAGGAUCAACAAAGCCUGGAGAAUAGAUACUUCAAGGGCCUCUGAG